rnacentral:rRNA from 1 species
AUGAAACUCUUAAGUUGGAACUGCCGGGGGCUUGGGAACGCCCCGGCAGUUCGUGCUCUGCUGGACGUCCAGCGGAGCUGCAGCCCAGAUGUGAUGUUUUUGUCGGAGACACACCUAGAAAGCUAUCCAGCUGAAUGUUUAAGGAGAAGGCCGAAAAUGGAUCAUAAGAUUGUCUGUCCUGGUGAUAGUAGAAAAGGGGGUUUGGUGAUG